rnacentral:rRNA from 1 species
UACGGGGGGAGCAAGCGUUGUUCGGAUUUACUGGGCGUAAAGGGCGCGUAGGCGGUCAGCACAAGUCAGUUGUGAAAUCUCCGGGCUUAACUCGGAAAGGUCAACUGAUACUGUGCGACUAGAGUGCAGAAGGGGCAACUGGAAUUCUCGGUGUAGCGGUGAAAUGCGUAGAUAUCGAGAGGAACGCCUGCGGCGAAGGCGGGUUGCUGGGCUGACACUGACGCUGAUGCGCGAAAGCCAGGGGAGCGAACGGG